rnacentral:rRNA from 1 species
AAGCAAUUAAACUUUAGUGGCGAACGGGUGAGUAACGCGUAAGCAAUCUGCCCCUAAGACGAGGAUAACAGGGAAACGACUGCUAAGACUGGAUAGUAGACUUGAAGGCAUCUUCUUGUUUUUAAAAGACCUAUUAAUAGGUAUGCUUAGGGAGGAGCUUGCGUCACAUUAGUUAGUUGGUGGGGUAAAGGCCUACCAAGACUAUGGUGUGUAGCCGGGCUGAGAGGUUGAACGGCCACAUUGGGACUGAGACACGGCCCAAACUCCUACGGGAGGCAGCAGUAGGGAAUUUUCGGCAAUGGAGGAAACUCUGACCGAGCAACGCCGCGUGAACGAUGAAGUAUUUCGGUACGUAAAGUUCUUUUAUUAGGGAAGAAUAAAUGAUGGAAAAAUCAUUCUGACGGUACCUAAUGAAUAAGCCCCGGCUAACUAUGUGCCAGCAGCCGCGGUAAUACAUAGGGGGCAAGCGUUAUCCGGAAUUAUUGGGCGUAAAGGGUGCGUAGGCUGUUAAAUAAGUUUAUGGUCUAAGUGCAAUGCUCAACAUUGUGAUGCUAUAAAAACUGUUUAGCUAGAGUAAGAUAGAGGCAAGUGGAAUUCCAUGUGUAGUGGUAAAAUGCGUAAAUAUAUGGAGGAACACCAGUAGCGAGGGCGGCUUGCUGGGUCUUUACUGACGCUGAGGCACGAAAGCGUGGGGAGCAAACAGGAUUAGAUACCCUGGUAGUCCACGCCGUAAACGAUGAGUACUAAACGUUGGGUAAAACCAGUGUUGAAGUUAACACAUUAAGUACUCCGCCUGAGUAGUACGUACGCAAGUAUGAAACUUAAAGGAAUGAUUUUUAUUGUUUUUGUUGGGUUUUUGCACAAGCGGUGGAUCUUGUUGUUUAAUUUGAAGGUACCCGAAAAACCUCACCAGGUCUUGACAUGUUUUUGCAAAGCUGUAGAAACACAGUGGAGGUUAUCAGUUGCACAGGUGGUGCAUGGUUGUCGUCAGCUUGUGUCGUGAGAUGUUGGGUUAAGUCCCGCAACGAGCGCAACCCUUAUUGUUAGUUGCCAGCACGUAAUGGUGGGGACUUUAGCAAGACUGCCAGUGAUAAAUUGGAGGAAGGUGGGGACGACGUCAAAUCAUCAUGCCCCUUAUGACCUGGGCUACAAACGUGAUACAAUGGAUGUUACAAAGGGUAGCUGAAAGGGAAGUUUUUCCCGCAUCUCAAAAAAACAGUUUCAGUUGGGAGGGGAGUUUAAAACUGGCCCUCUUGAAGGAGGGGUUUUCAAACCGCCGGCAUGAACGAUGCUAGACAGGUUUGAAGUCUGCAACUCGACUUCAUGAAGUUGGAAUCGCUAGUAAUCGCGAAUCAGCUUGUCGCGGUGAAUACGUUCUCGGGGUUUGUACACACCGCCCGUCAAACCACGAAAGUUGGCAAUACCGAAAACCGGUGGCCUAACUUCGGAAGAAGAGGGAACCGUCUUUGGUAGGGUCGAUGAUUGGGGUUAAGUCGUAACUUGGUAUCCCUACCGGAAGGUGGGGAUGGAC